AUGGCAACCAAGGGAAAGAACAGAACAGAGACCAGGGUUCCCUGACCAUGAGCCCCGCAAGUGUAAGCUUGGGGCCUGGUACAAAGCAGGGGCUCUACAUGGCUGUGAUUCUGCAAGGAACUUCCCCUGAUUCUUCUUAAUUACCAGCAGUGAAGACAUUCAAGAUGCUGAGAGCAAAGGUCAAACCCCACCUGUUUUCCUUGCACUUCAUUUUCUGGCAGUUCCCACAAUAGUGUAGAUAAGUUAAAGAUUAAGGCAAUCUUUUCUAAUUAAAGUAAUUAAAAAGC